rnacentral:rRNA from 1 species
UACAGAGGUCUCAAGCGUUGUUCGGAUUCAUUGGGCGUAAAGGGUGCGUAGGUGGCAUGGUAAGUUGAAGGUGAAAUCUCGGAGCUCAACUCCGAAACUGCCUUCAAUACUGCUGUGCUUGAGAGCUGUAGAGGAGAAUGGAAUUCACGGUGUAGCAGUGAAAUGCGUAGAUAUCGUGAGGAAGACCAGUGGCGAAGGCGAUUCUCUGGGCAGUAACUGACGCUGAGGAGCGAAAGCGUGGGUAGCAAACAGG